UCGCGGUUUGCACCGGCAGUCUUGUUAGAGUCCCCACCUUUACGUGCUGGUAACUAACAAUAGGGGUUGCGCUCGUUAUAGGACUUAACCUGACACCUCACGGCACGAGCUGACGACAACCAUGCAGCACCUUGUAAAUUGUCCGAAGAAAUACGUGUUUCCACAUACGUCAACCUACAUUUAAGCCCUGGUAAGGUUCCUCGCGUAUCAUCGAAUUAAACCACAUGCUCCACCGCUUGUGCGGGCCCCCGUCAAUUCCUUUGAGUUUCAUUCUUGCGAACGUACUCCCCAGGUGGGAUACUUAUCACUUUCGCUUAGCCACUCAAUCCGAAAAUCGAACAGCUAGUAUCCAUCGUUUACGGCGUGGACUAC
rnacentral:misc_RNA from 1 species